CCGGAGGCGGAGAAGCGGAAGCCAUAGCAACCAGGUCCUGGACUUCAGAGUGGAGAGGCCCCGUCGUCAUGGAGAUUACAUUCUAAGAACCCCAGCAGAUUCCUGAAACCUCAUAUUUUACUAAACCUGUACACACUGUUUUUACCCUGGCCUGGGACACGUGCAGUGGUUCUUGGUCUAAGAAAAGGACACAAGUGGCGGGGGGGGGGUGUCAACUGUGGAUCUCUGGGACCCUCCUCCGCCUUGCUCUUCCAUGCAGGAGAAAGCGUGGAGCAGAGCGAAGCAGCAUG